rnacentral:rRNA from 1 species
GCGUGAGUGAUGAAGGCCUUAGGGUUGUAAAGCUCUUUUACCAGGGAUGAUAAUGACAGUACCUGGAGAAUAAGCUCCGGCUAACUCCGUGCCAGCAGCCGCGGUAAUACGGAGGGAGCUAGCGUUGUUCGGAAUUACUGGGCGUAAAGCGCACGUAGGCGGCUUAUCAAGUCAGGGGUGAAAUCCCGGGGCUCAACCCCGGAACUGCCCUUGAAACUGGUUCGCUAGAAUCCUGGAGAGGCGAGUGGAAUUCCGAGUGUAGAGGUGAAAUUCGU